GUGGGGUGCAGUGGUGCACGCCUGUAAUCCCUGAAGCUUGGGAAACUGAGAUAGGAGGAUCUCGAGUUCAAAGCCAGAUUCAGCAACUCAGUGAGACCCUGUCUCUA
rnacentral:sRNA from 1 species